AACCACAAGACACUUCAGGUCAUACCAGGUAGAACUACUAAAAACAUCAGGUAAUACCAGGUUGAACCACAAGACACUUCAGGUCAUACCAGGUAGAACCACAAGACACUUCAGGUCAUACCAGGUAGAACUACUAGCCACUUCAGGUCAUACCAGUAGUACUACUAGUCUCAGACAAAUAUAUGAAUAUUGAUACUAGAUAAAUAAUUGACUGCCAUUGAAAUAUUUACAUUUAUUGAAAUUACCAUUGUUAAGAUGGACAGUGAGAAUUCCAAAAAUUCAAAAUUAUAGACAUUAAUUGAUCAGUCUAGUUCAUAUAUAGCAUUAAAUGGAUAAAUUGCAUAGGUAGUUUUUAUCAAUAUACUAGUCCUGCACCAUGACUGUGGAAUAUAUUUAUUUUAUGAAAAAUAAAUAAAUCUAGAAAUGCAUACAAAAGCAAGUCUAGCUAGCUCUCUGAAAUCAGCAUAGUGAAUUUUUUUCAGUCAAGAAGGAUAUUGUGUAUUAUAAGAUUUCAGAGACUAAAUGUUAGUCUAUCAAUACACAUGCAGAAUGUUUAAUUCUAUUUAUACUAAUUAAUAUAUAUUCAACCCAACUCCCUCCCUGGCUUCAGUGUCUUAUCGGUAUGUCUAAUGGUGAUGUUUUUCUACCCAGAGGGCCACACUUCAGUGUCUUAUCGGUAUGUCUAAUGGUGAUGUUUUUCUACCCAGAGGGCCACGCUUCAGUGUGUUAUCGGUAUGUCUAAUGGUGAUGUUUUUCUACCCAGAGGGCCACGCUUCAGUGUGUUAUCGGUAUGUCUAAUGGUGAUGUUUUUCU
rnacentral:lncRNA from 1 species